rnacentral:rRNA from 1 species
ACGAACGCUGGCGGCGUGCUUAACACCUGCAAGUCGAACGGGUCUGCCCUGUUUUUUGCGGGGUGGGUCAGUGGCGAACGGGUGAGUAACACGUGAGUAACCUGCCCCUCACUUCUGGAUAACCGCUUGAAAGGGUGGCUAAUACGGGGUGUUCUGGCUGUGCCGCAUGGUGUGGCUGGGAAAGAUUCACUUUUGUGGUGUUUUGGUGGGGGAUGGGCUCGCGGCCUAUCAGCUUGUUGGUGGGGUGAUGGCCUGCCAAGGCUUUGACGGGUAGCCGGCCUGAGAGGGUGGGCGGUCACACUGGGACUGAGAUACGGCCCAGACUCCUGCGGGAGGCAGCAGUGGGGGGUAUUGCACAAUGGGCGGAAGCCUGAUGCAGCGACGUCGCGUGAGGGAUGGAGGCCUGCGGGUUGUGAACCUCUUUCGCCGGUGAAGAAGGUCCUGCUCUUUGGGGUGGGGUUGACGGUAGCCGGGUUAUGAAGCGCCGGCUAACUACGUG